rnacentral:misc_RNA from 1 species
AAACAACAUGAAAGCAUAAACUAAUAGGAUGACGAGAGGAGUUCCAAAUCUCUAUUAUUAAGUUCAGUGGAUGAUGAUAUGAUCAAUUAAUCUAAAGCAACUACUGAACCAAUAUCUGGCACAAAUCUUGCCACCUUUUUCCAACCCGCAAGAUUUUCAUGAAAUUGAGAUCCAAAGUUUCAUAUAAGAGCAAAUGCGAGGAGAAAAG